ACUGCUAUGACAAAUUACCAUUCUAGAAUGUAAACGUGCUCUUCCCUUUCUCAACACUGUAGACUAGAAUAUUCGAGUGACAAAAUUACCUAAAGGGAAGAAUGAAAUGAACAAACGAACUUCACAGAAAACCAAAUUGGAUCUGAUGUUUCUGAGAACUUCAAGCACAACUUAAUUUGCUCAACUAAGAGAAAGAAUAAACUAAGGAAAUGUGAGCUCCAGAGAGGACUUCUGACAAUGUAAUAUGACUGCGCAUUUGACCAGAGCUAUUCUUAUGUUGGAUUUCGCAGCCUAAGCAAGACAGAUGAUGAAGAUAAAGCACAGAAAAAUACAAGGAAGAAUUUGAAGAUCACAUUCAUUUACCACAAAUAAACCAAUUAAUCUUUCAUUUUAUGAUCAACUGCAAUAUCCCUUAAAUACACUGAGAAGCCUUCUCUUCACCCAUCAGGAAAAGCUCAGUUGAGAAGACAAAAAAAGAAAGGGCCAGGUGCAGUGGCUCACGCCUGUAAUCCCAGCACGUUGGAAGGCCAAGGUGGGCAGAUCACCUGAAGUUGGGCAUUCAAGACCAGCCUGGCCAACAUGGUGAAACCCUGUCUCUACUGAAAAUACAAAAAUUAGCUGGGCAUGGUGGCGGGUGCCUGUAAUCCCAGCCACUUGGGAGGCUGAGGCAGGAGAAUCACUUGACCCAGGGAGGCGGAUGCUGCACUGAGACUGAGUCGAGAUCAUGCCACUGAACUUCAGUCUGAGGACAAUGAGACUGUCUCAAAAAGAAAAAUACACACACACACACACACACACACACACACGGUACCUCAUUCAUUCAUCCACUCAAACAUUUACUGUGUCCACUGUGCCAGGCCAGGGACUGUGUAAAUAAUGGUGAGCACACAGGGACAAUUCCUACUCAGAGUUUAUUUUUACGAAUAGAGGCAGAAAAUAGAUUAGUAAACAAUAAACACAAAGAGAAUUAUUUAUCAAGCAGUGCGGUGAAAUUAAAGAACAGGGUCCUGGGCAAUGAAUAAGUGCAGCAAGGGUAGUCAGGAAGGCCUCUCUGAGAAAAUAAAUUACAACAGUGAUCCAAGGGUAUGGAGGCAGGGAACAGAACAGGAGGCAGAGGGAACAGCAUGACUACAGGUCCUAAGACAGCAAAAGACUUAACCUGCUUGAGCCACUCUUAGGCCUCCAGGAUGAGUAGACUGCAGUGACCAAACAUGGAGAGAGGGCAGAAAAACCACAUGGGCCCCACCUUAGAGGUCACAGAGUUUAGAUUUUAUUCUUGGUGUGAUGGGAAGCCAACGAAAGCUUUAAAAAAGUAAUGGCACAACCUGACGAGCUGUGUGAUCAUUCUGGCUUUGUGUGAAAAAUUAAUUGAAGUGGGCGAGACUGGAUGGUUGCAAAAAUUAACUCGAAAUGA